rnacentral:lncRNA from 1 species
AAACAUUUUAAAUUUUUGAAAUUCUAAGGCUUUUCUACCUCAGGAAUAGAUUACCUUAGCUGUAUUUGGCAAAACUUUUAGGAAUUUUGCACCGCAAUGCUCCUCAACUUCGUACUUUAUUUGACCUUUUUAUCUAUUUGGAUUUGAGCGUCACUGAUAAGUCUUUUGUAGACGAAACCUGCGUCUGGCGGAAAUACAAAAUUUAAUCCUGGUUUCUAUUAUGAGCUUAUAUAUAAUGAUUAGCUUUCUACAUCAAAUAUACAAAAUAUGUAUUCAAACUAUAUUUCUUCCUUUAUAUAGGUUUAAUAUUUUAAGGCAUUCGCUUGGGGAAACAGAUGAAAGCAAAACAAGAAGUACAAUAUAAAAAAGAAGAUGUGGUAUGAUUGCCAAUGAGACAACUAUCCACAAAAGACCAAAAUGACACAGACAUUAACAACUAUAGGUCACUGUAUGGCCUUCAACAAGGAGCAAAGCCCAUACCGCAUAGUCAGCUAUAAAAAGUCAUUCAGUUGUUGCCUAUUAGAACUGAUUUUAACAACUAAAACUGAGAAAUUACACAAUUUUGUUAGUUUGCUUCUGCA